rnacentral:rRNA from 1 species
AUUGAACGCUGGCGGCAUGCCUUACACAUGCAAGUCGAACGGUAACGUGCCUUCGGGUGCCGACGAGUGGCGAACGGGUGCGUAAUACAUCGGAACGUGCCCGAUCGUGGGGGAUAACGAGGCGAAAGCUUUGCUAAUACCUCAUACGAUCUACGGAUGAAAGCCGGGGACUGCAAGGCCUUGCGCGGACGGAGCGGCCGAUGGCAGAUUAGGUAGUUGGUGGGAUAAAAGCUUACCAAGCCGACGAUCUGUAGCUGGUCUGAGAGGAUGAUCAGCCACACUGGAACUGAGACACGGCCCAGACUCCUACGGGAGGCAGCAGUGGGGAAUUUUGGACAAUGGGCGCAAGCCUGAUCCAGCCAUGCCGCGUGCAGGAUGAAGGCCUUCGGGUUGUAAACUGCUUUUGUACGGAACGAAAAGCCGUCUUUUAAUACAGGAGGGUCAUGACGGUACCGUAAGAAUAAGCACCGGCUAACUACGUG